AAGAGGGAAUCAUAGGGAGGAGCAGUUGGAUCAUUGUCAGCAGUCUUCAGGUUCUGUGGAGAUAAAACCAAGUGGAAGUAUAAAUCAGCAGAACUCGUGCUUAACACUUCUAUUUGGAGGAGGACAGGUCAGCUGGUAAUGGCAGAAGUCUGGCUCAAAACAGGCAUAAUGGCAGCAAGUUUAAACAUCACUCAAGAACCUAUGCUCAGCACAAGGAUAUGGGUAUCAUUGGCAAGGUCAAUGUUUAUUGCCAUCCCUAACUGCCCUAGAGAAGAUGUUGAUGAUGUUUGACUGUUGUUCAAAUUGUAUCCAUCCAGACAAGUGGAGGAUCAAACUUUCAACCAGUACCGAGAUGAUGGAACCACAAGAUCCCACUACCGAUGUCACCACAGUUUUCAUGAUUGGUCCAGUUAAAUUUCUGGUAAUUGCAACCCCUAGGGACUUUGCUGGCAAAUUACGGCAAUGUCAUGAGAGGUCCUGAAAGUUUCUCUUUAUAUUUCAUUGCCUUGCACAUUUGUGACAGGAAUGUUACUUGCAAGUUUGCAGCCCACAUCCAAAUGUUGUCUAGUUCUUGCUGCAUGCAGAGUGAACUGAUCCAUUUUUAAAAAAUUUGAUGUGCUACAAAAAGAACUGAACAUUGUUCGGCAGAGAAACAUAAGCGAACAUUCCCACAUGUGCUCUUGUUAUGGAAACAGCUCAUAAUGACUGAUCCCAGGACACGGAGGAAC